rnacentral:misc_RNA from 1 species
UAUAAUUUCGAUGUCCCGAAAUGACGUACCGAGGGAGUGUUACCAGUAAUUUUUAUUUCCAUUAGCCCAAAAUGCGGGUUUCCAACGAAUAUUUUAAUAGAAGAUGAAUGGGUAGCUGCUUUACAACUGAGCCGAAAUGAACUACAACGACAGCCAUCCUCAUCUAGUUGGUUUGUUCAAACCAUUUUGAUAAAGCUGACAUGUACGGUACAAAACGUG